rnacentral:rRNA from 1 species
ACCCGUCUUGAAACACGGACCAAGGAGUCUAACAUGCGCGCGAGUCGUUGGGUCGGACACGCUCCGCUAAACCCAUAGGCGCAAUGAAAGUGAAGGUUUCCCUUGUGGGACCGAGGGAGGACGGAGGUGUGAUUAGCCUCCCGCACUCCCGGGGCGUCUGAUUCCUCUCGCUGAGGGAAGGCGCACCCAGAGCGCACACGUUGGGACCCGAAAGAUGGUGAACUAUAA